CCUACGGGAGGCAGCAGUGAGGAAUAUUGGUCAAUGGGCGAAAGCCUGAUCCAGCCAAGUAGCGUGAAUGAUGAAUGCCCUAUGGUUGUUAAACUUCUUUUAUAUGGGACUAAAUCGUUGCACGUGUCUGAUUUUGUAUGUACCCUAUGAAUAAGGAUCGGCUAACCUCGUACCAGCAGCCCCGGUAAUACGGUGGAUCCGCGCGUUAUCCGGAUUUAUUUGGUUUAGAGGGUGCGUAGGGGGAUUGUUAAGUCAGGUGUGAAAGUUUGCGGCUCAACCGUAGAAUUGCAGUUGAAACUGGUAGACUUGAGUACAGUAGAGGUGGGCGGAAUGCGGGGUGUAGCGGUGAAAUGCAUAGAUAGCACGAAGAACACCGAUUGCGAAGGCAGCCUACUGGACUGAAACUGACACUGAGGCUCGAAAGUGUGGGUAUCAAACAGGAUUAGAUACCCUAGUAGUC
rnacentral:rRNA from 1 species